rnacentral:tRNA from 1 species
GCCGACGUGGUGGAAUUGGUAGACACGCUACCUUGAGGUGGUAGUGGCGAAAGCCGUGACAGUUCGAGUCUGUCCGUUGGCACCA